GAGAGAGAGAGAGAGAGAGAGGGAGAGCGAGAGAGAGGAGAGAGAGAGAGAGAGAGAGAGAGAUGCUAACGUUAGAUAAAACAAAGUGAGUUCCCUGUACACGGAGCACCCGGUCAUAUCGUAUAACUCGCUGUGCUCCGCCUCCAUUUGUUCUUGUUGUUAUGGAAACGACAGGUCUGGCUACUCCGCUUGUCAUUGGUCGGCUGUCAAAAAAGCGCUUGACGUAGGGCGUUUUUUUUUUUCAGAAAAGUUGAACUUUUUUUCAACUUCAAAAAGACGCUCCGAGCUGCAGAAAAGAAGUCGGCGGAUUAUAACGUAGAACAGACGCUGGCAGCUUCAAGGAAGACGCCAAGUGUGAACACAGCCUUAAUUGGAAUUGGAAUAGUUUGGAAAAUUUGGUACGAAUCCAAUCAUCUGUUCCAAAUUUAAGUUUUGGAGUCUGUAGCGACCGCCGUACUUCCAGCAGGCGUUUGUUGUGUUGGAGCCACGGAGCACAGUAAGCGGCGCUCUAAAGUGUGGCUUUAUUUUACGGUG